GAAACCUUGCGAACCGUGUUCACAUAUCUAAAAACAUAGGGGACGUUUGUGAAGACCUUUCCUGUUUAAGGGAACUUACCCCACGAAAGACUUAGAAUGUGUAAUAGCCCAUUUUCAGUAAAAUCGAAAUAGUGGUUUUAGGACCACAAAUCUGAUGAGUAAAUUAUUAUUUUAUUAUUUUAAUUUCUAUGGGAUGUUAGUAAGGUUUUAUUAAAAUUUUGUUAUGAAAUUUUGAUGUUUGUAUGCUUAAUUACGUAAAAAGGAC
rnacentral:lncRNA from 1 species